rnacentral:rRNA from 1 species
CAUACUGCCGUGAAUACGUUCCCGGGCCUUGUACACACCGCCCGUCACACCAUGAGAGUUGGGAAUACCCGAAGCCUGUGAGCUAACUUAUAGAGGCAGCAGUCGAAGGUAGAAUCAAUGAUUGGGGUGAAGUCGUAACAAGGUACC